GACGGGGCCCGCACAAGCGGUGGAGCAUGUGGUUUAAUUCGAAGCAACGCGAAGAACCUUACCAGGUCUUGACAUCCCCUGACAACCCGAGAGAUCGGGCGUUCCCCUUCGGGGGACAGGGUGACAGGUGGUGCAUGGUUGUCGUCAGCUCGUGUCGUGAGAUGUUGGGUUAAGUCCCGCAACGAGCGCAACCCUCGACCUUAGUUGCCAGCAUUCAGUUGGGCACUCUAAGGUGACUGCCGGCUAAAAGUCGGAGGAAGGUGGGGAUGACGUCAAAUCAUCAUGCCCCUUAUGACCUGGGCUACACACGUGCUACAAUGGGCGGUACAAAGGGUCGCGAACCCGCGAGGGGGAGCCAAUCCCAAAAAGCCGCCCUCAGUUCGGAUUGCAGGCUGCAACUCGCCUGCAUGAAGCCGGAAUCGCUAGUAAUCGCAGGUCAGCAUACUGCGGUGAAUACGUUCCCGGGCCUU
rnacentral:rRNA from 1 species